rnacentral:rRNA from 1 species
AGAACGAACGCUGGCGGCAUGCCUAACACAUGCAAGUCGAACGAGACCUUCGGGUCUAGUGGCGCACGGGUGCGUAACGCGUGGGAAUCUGCCCUUGGGUCCGGAAUAACAGUGAGAAAUUACUGCUAAUACCGGAUGAUGACGUAAGUCCAAAGAUUUAUCGCCCAGGGAUGAGCCCGCGUAAGAUUAGGUAGUUGGUGGGGUAAAGGCCUACCAAGCCGACGAUCUUUAGCUGGUCUGAGAGGAUGAUCAGCCACACUGGGACUGAGACACGGCCCAGACUCCUACGGGAGGCAGCAGUGGGGAAUAUUGGACAAUGGGCGAAAGCCUGAUCCAGCAAUGCCGCGUGAGUGAUGAAGGCCCUAGGGUUGUAAAGCUCUUUUACCCGGGAUGAUAAUGACAGUACCGGGAGAAUAAGCCCCGGCUAACUCCGUGCCAGUAGCCGC